UCUCAAGUAUCUCUGACAGCUUUCCCCAGCCCAAUAUAUCUCUGCUUUUAAUCAAUGAUAAAAUCUUCUCCCAUGGCGAGGCUGACUUUUAUUUCUUGGGAACAUCUCUUCUUCGACUGACCGCCGCAAUUUCCAAAGCUUGGAAAGGUAUCUCCAGUGUUUCUCUAUUUGCCUCUAUGUAUCUGAACGAAAAAAGGUGACUAACAAACAUGUCUUCUUCUUAUUCGAUGAUUAUCAAUUUAUCAUUAACUAUGAACUUCAAC
rnacentral:lncRNA from 1 species